rnacentral:rRNA from 1 species
UACGUAGGGGGCGAGCGUUGUCCGGAGUUACUGGGCGUAAAGGGCACGCAGGCGGUGCGGCGCGUUUCGCGUGACAGCGGAGGGCUUAACUCUCCGAGGAUGCGAAAGACGGCGGCACUUGAGGGCCAGAGGGGGACACGGAAUUCCGGGUGGAGUGGUGAAAUGCGUAGAUAUCUGGAGGAACACCGGUGGCGAAGGCGGCAUCCUGGACCGACACUGACACUGAGGAGCGAAAGCCAGGGGAGCAAACGGG